rnacentral:rRNA from 1 species
GCAAGUCUGGUGCCAGCAGCCGCGGUAAUUCCAGCUCCAAUAGCGUAUAUUAAAGUUGUUGCAGUUAAAAAGCUCGUAGUUGGAUUUCUGUUAAUAAUUUAUAUAAAAUAUUUUGAUGAAUAUUUAUAUAAUAUUAACAUAAUUCAUAUUACUAUUUUUUUUAGUAUAUGAAAUUUUACUUUGAGAAAAUUAGAGUGCUUAAAGCAGGCAUAUGCCUUGAAUACUCCAGCAUGGAAUAAUAUUAAAGAUUUUUAUCUUUCUUAUUGGUUCUAAGAUAAGAAUAAUGAUUAAUAGGGACAGUUGGGGGCAUUUGUAUUUAACAGUCAGAGGUGAAAUUCUUAGAUUUGUUAAAGACAAACUAAUGCGAAAGCAUUUGCCAAGGAUGUUUUCAUUAAUCAAGAACGAAAGUUAGGGGAUCGAAGACGAUCAGAUACCGUCGUAGUCUUAACCAUAAACUAUGCCAACUAGAGAUUGGAGGUUGUUCCUUACUCCUUCAGCACCUUA